AUUGAACGCUGGCGGCGUGCCUAACACAUGCAAGUCGAGCGGAGCGGCGGACGGGUGAGUAAUGCCUAGGAAUAUACCUGGUCGUGGGGGAUAAGGUCCGGAAACGGGCGCUAAUAUCGCAUACUAUCAGAUGAGACUAGGUCGGAUUAGCUAGUUGGUGGGGUAAAGGCCUACCAAGGCGACGAUCCGUAACUGGUCUGAGAGGAUGAUCAGCCACAUUGGAACUGAGACACGGUCCAGACUCCUACGGGAGGCAGCAGUGGGGAAUAUUCGACAAUGGGCGAAAGCCUGAUCCAGCCAUGCCGCGUGAGUGAAGAAGGUCUUCGGAUUGUAAAGCUCUGUAAGUUGGGAGGCGGUACCAACAGAGAAAGCACCGGCUAACUUCGUGCCAGCAGCCGCGGUAAUUC
rnacentral:rRNA from 1 species